AAUUCUCAACUUCAAAUUUCUAUUUUGAAGCUUGGAUGUUGGAGGCUUUGCAGGCAUUUAUUGUCAGCUCCUCUUAAAUGCAUUAGCAGAACUUGUACGUUCGGCUCUGGUUUGAUAAUACUAUCUAUGCCAUUGCUGAAAGGUCAUUGUUCAGCUUCUAAUGGUCCAUUGCAUUGGACUGUCUCUUUUGGAGGCAUCACCUUUUUG
rnacentral:misc_RNA from 1 species